rnacentral:rRNA from 1 species
AUUGAACGCUGGCGGCAUGCCUUACACAUGCAAGUCGAACGGCAGCACGGGAGCAAUCCUGGUGGCGAGUGGCGAACGGGUGAGUAAUAUAUCGGAACGUGCCCAGUCGUGGGGAUAACGUAGCGAAAGCUACGCUAAUACCGCAUACGAUCUAUGGAUGAAAGCGGGGGAUCGCAAGACCUCGCGCGAUUGGAGCGGCCGAUAUCAGAUUAGGUAGUUGGUGAGGUAAAGGCUCACCAAAGCCGACGAUCUGUAGCUGGUCUGAGAGGACGACCAGCCACACUGGGACUGAGACACGGCCCAGACUCCUACGGAGGCAGCAGUGGGGAAUUUUGGACAAUGGGCGCAAGCCUGAUCCAGCAAUGCCGCGUGCAGGAUGAAGGCCUCGG